rnacentral:rRNA from 1 species
UACGUAGGGCGCAAGCGUUAUCCGGAAUUAUUGGGCGUAAAGAGCUCGUAGGCGGUUUGUCGCGUCUGCCGUGAAAGUCCGGGGCUCAACUCCGGAUCUGCGGGUGGGUACGGGCAGACUAGAGUGAUGUAGGGGAGACUGGAAUUCCUGGUGUAGCGGUGAAAUGCGCAGAUAUCAGGAGGAACACCGAUGGCGAAGGCAGGUCUCUGGGCAUUAACUGACGCUGAGGAGCGAAAGCAUGGGGGAGCGAACAGG